CCUACGGGAGGCAGCAGGUAAGGAAUAUUGGACAAUGGAGGCAACUCUGAUCCAGCCAUGCCGCGUGAAGGAAUAAGGCCCUAUGGGUUGUAAACUUCUUUUAGACGGGACAAAACCCCUUUACGUGUAAAGGGUUGAUGGUACUGUCAGAAUAAGCAUCGGCUAACUUCGUGC
rnacentral:rRNA from 1 species